AGGAUUGGGAUUACUCCGAUAAAUCCUAGCUCAUACCGAAUAGUUCUUCAGACCGCAGGGUCUGAUGAUGAAAGGCGCUUCAGCUUCACCUUGGGAUGGCCUUGCGGUGCAUUAGCUAGUUGGUGGGGUAAUGGCCCACCAAGGCGACCAUUCAUAACCGACCUGAGAGGGUGAUCGGCCACACUGGGACUGAGACACGGCCCAAACUCCUACGGGAGGCACCAUUAGGGAAUCUUCCACAAUGGACGAAAGUCUGAUGGAGCAACGCCGCGUGAAUGAUGAAGGUUUUCGGAUCGUAAAACUCUGUUGUAAAGGAAAAAAAAGUACGAAAGGUUAUGCUCGUACCUUGGCGGUACCUUGCGAGAAAGCCAAGGGUAACUACGUGCCACCCCCCCGGGGUAAUAAGUAAGUUGCAAACGUUUUUUCGGGGAUUUUUUGGGGGGGUUAAACGAAGAACAGGGGGGGCUUUUAAAUUUGAGGGGGGAACCCCCCCGGUCACCCUGGGGUGGGGCCUUUGAAACUG
rnacentral:rRNA from 1 species